UUGAGCUUCACUUUACUGCACUUCACAGAUCUUGCAUUUUUUUUUUUUACAAAUUGAAGGUUCAAGACUUCAGCAGAGGAAGUGCAGGUGUGGGGAAAAUAACAAGAGAGCUAGAAUUAUCCGUGAAGACUAAAGAUGGGACUGAAUUGUUGUAAUCUCAUGAUAAAAUUCAAAUAGAUAAGGAGUUACUUCUUAUGGAUGAGCAAAUGAAAUGGAUUCUUGAGAAUCUAUGCCUGGUGAAGAAGCUGUGAAGAUUGUUGAUAUGACAACAAAGAAUUUAGAAUACCACAUACAUUUAGCUGGUAAAACAGUGGCAGGGUUUGAGAGGAUUGACUCCAAUUUUGAAAGCAGUUCUACUGAAGACAUUGCAUCUUCCUAUGAGAGACAAGAAAAGAAAAAAGACAAAGAUGCUAAGAACAAAAGAUGUGUGCCAGUAGAAUUCAAAUAACCAAAUUUCAAUUGGCUGCAAUUUCGGGUUUAUAUUGGUGAUCAAAUGCGGGAUCCAGAGCAAACCUCCAAAGACCCCCAGGCUGGAGAGCCAACAUCAGACAAUGCCCACAGAGCCGAUGGGGCUCACUGCUUUCUCACUGACCCAUGAGUUGGAAGCCAGGUGGUCACUGCGGCCCUUUCUACAUUCCAUUGCUCAAACCUGUUUCCCUUAAGUGGCCUCUACACAAUCAAGGUAAGGUUGCUUUUUGCCUCUAGCAAAGUCUUGAAGUUAAAGCAGUUAAGUUCCUGGAGGAAGGUCACUCUGCCAGUCCCAAGUACUUGUCAAUGGGCUGCAAGUUGUAAGGAAAUUCAAUUUUUUUUGACAUUUCUUUUGUGUUUCUUUUUGACAUCACUAUCACUGACUCCCCACUGUGAAUAUCUUCUUUUGUCUUUAGCUAAAGAUGGUAUUUAAGGUGAUGGCUUUGGCCAUUUUGGAGAGUUACUCAAUUUUCCUGAUAUUAUGAAACUCAAAAUUGUCUGGGCACCCAGAGCACUGUAAACCAAUGUCUGAGACAACAGUUUUGAAACAAAGAAAGCUUUAUUAUCAAAACGACAGUCCAACAAGAAGCAGGGGGAUGAUUCCCAAAGCUGCCUUGUCCCUUGAGCCUAGGGACAGCUUAUAUAUGUUUGCAAAGGAGGUGAAUACAUGAGGAAGGGUGAAGGGUUUCUUGAAACCUUGGGGCGGGGAGUUGAAAUAAUCUGGAGGUAUGCAUUCUUCUGUUAGGGAAAAAUCCCUUAUAUGACUGCUGACAGGACUGAUAAGGGAAUUUCAGUCCCUGCCUGAAAACUUCCCUUCCAGGUUCUUGUUCCCACCCUGCUGCCUCAGACACCAAAUUACUACUAAUUAGGAAUGCGGAAGUAAUAGAAUAUAAAUCGUCCCCUCUGUUGAUUCUCUGAGCUCAGAUCUCUGGAGAAUGAUCUCUGGGCUCACUGGUGUAAAAUAAACCUCCUGCCUUCCAACAUCUCCAAGUGCCAUGUGGUUCUUCUGCUGGGUGAUCCAGACUAGUUUCCGUAACACUUCCAGUGAGAUGCCUUUUGAGACCUGGUAUAUCAGGUGUGUCAGAUAAUUUCAAAACAAAUGCUAGCAUCGGGUCCCCAUUAGGUUUCUCUAAUCAGUGGGUACAUGUGGAGUAGGAGUGGAAAAGGCAAAACGAACAAUUGAUAAGAGGUGCAUAAAACAUAAUUAAGUAGAGAACAAAACAAAAUGUGGAUCUAAGUUAACAAUGCAACUAAUACAACUAUAAUUCACAGAAAAGCGACCCAAACUGAGGUGGGAUGUGUCUCCCCCCUCGCAGGAGGACCUGGAUCCUGUGAGUGGAGGUGAAUCCCAGAUGGGCCGCCACAUUAUUAGAAAUAAGCCACUGACCCAAUCAAAGGAGUCAGAAGAUCAAGCUGAUUUAUGCAUUCCUCUUUUCAAACACUUAGUACCCUUAGAACCCUUAGAAUUCAAAAAUAAAUCUAUUAAUAAUAGAUAUAUAAUUAAAUAUAUAUAAAUAACUUUAAUGUGGAUACAACGAAGGUAACAGAACUCUGAGGAAAGAGGACCUCAAAUUUAUCAUUUGUAUUUGUUCUGUAGGAGGUGAAACCUCCCUUUCUCCCUUCUAAGUUCUUUGGCUAGUUUAAUAAUUAAAUUGAUUUAAGACAGAAUAACAUGAGAAAUGAAAUAUUGUUCCCAUAUCAUUACCUGGGUGUGAUGCGGUUUUGGAGUGGUGGGGGUCCAGAGCCUAUGGCAAAGGAAGAAUUCUUGAGACAUCUUUGAUGCAAAAAGAUGAAUUUCUUAAAGUACAGGAAGAGGACCCAUGGGCAGAAAGAGGACCCAUGGGCUGCAUUAUAAGCCUAAGGAGCUAGUAAUUAUAUACCUGGCAGUUGGGGGAAGUAAAAGCAAGGUUUCCAAAAAGGACUUUGAUAUGCUAAAGAAGAUUCUCAAGAUACUGGAUACCUAGCUUUGUGGAGCUAAGGUGGUUUUUCCUCUAGUAAGGCAUUAACUUUGAGACAGUAGGGAGUUCUUGAAGAAAGGUUAUACUCUGCUUAUCUUAAAUAUUUGUAAAUGGGCUGCAGGUUACAAGGAAAUUCCAUUUUAUUUACCAUUUCCUUCUUGCCUUUGUUCCCCCCAUCACUAUGGAGGGGAGGGUGAUGUUGGGGCUCCAGGAAACUGAGUCUAUAGUUUUCUGGAGAUUAGGCUAUUGAUAAGAUUGCCUUUUUCUUGUAAAUUACUAAAACAUUUGUAUACUAAUGGAGACUCAUGUUUUGCAUAACUAUGAUAUCUAUCAGUUAACCAUUUGUUUUCUCCUUUACUUAGUUUUAGGGCAUCCAGGAAUGCCUAGGAAUGUCCCACCUUGGGGGGUGGGGGCAGUAUGUGGGUUGCAGGGUGUUAGCUUGUGCUUUGCCCUCAGCUUGCCUUGAGCUCCCUCAUUGGGUGAGUUAUAUGAUUCUUGGAAAAUGAUGCUCUUCCUCUACUUGGAGAAACUGAUAGUCUUGACCUUUAAACCUGUCAUCCCAGUCUGAUUUUGCUCUCUUCAUGCCAAAACUCUACAGUUUUGCUAUUUUAGAACUCACCUUGGUUCACUUCAUGUGUCCUUCGCAGUGAUAAUGUAUAUAAAGGGAAGUCAAAUAAAAACACAUAACUUUGAAAAUAAAAUGCUGAGACAUGCUUUGGCCUUCCUGUUGUCCAAUAUGCAUUUAUAACUUCAGGAUAGCAAGUCAAACAUUUAUGAAGCAGUCCAUGGUCAACUUCCAAAUGAAUCCACACAGGUAUACUAACUUAAAGUUCCAGAUGUUGCUGGGGCUCUCAGGUUGGUCCCAUAUACUACUUGAGUAUCUCUGAAAGUGAACAGUAUGAAGUGAGACAUAUAAAAUGCAUCAUCUUAUGACACAAACAUUUGCCACACAAACAGAAAUGAAAAUUUGCUUCCAAUUGUCCUGAUUCUUAAAGUUGGAGAGUAAAGAGUUUCAAUCAACAUUUAAUAAGUAUUUAUUGAACACUGUGAAAAUUAAUUAAGGGAAACCUUGCUGAAAUGGAGUCUGGAGGUUUGGCACUGGAAGCUCUCAUGCCCUACCACUAGUCCUCAAUUGCUAAUCCAACAAGAAAAGACAGACCUUGCACAUGGAUACUACUUGAGCUACUACUUUCCUAUCCCAGCAGAAGGAAGAAAGACUCCCCCCUGCCCUGCAGUAGUUCAGCCAAUAAGAGACAUUCACAGCUCAGCCAAUGAGAAGCCGCUAUACUUCCAACUCCCAGUUUACUCCAAUGGACUUUUUGUUUAUGACAGCUCCUCCAAUGUCCCCCUUUCCACUAUAAAAGAAUAUUUCUUUCCUUUGCUAUGCCGACUUGCUUAUGGUUAUGUCAUAGCUUGCUUGUCCUUGAUUGCAGUUCUCUGCUAUUCCCAAAUAAGCCCAUCUUUUGCUGG